GUGUGAGAGUGAGUGAAUGUGAGUGUGUGUGACCUCAUUGCAUCGCAGAAUAACCUGGCAGUCCAAGACUGCAGCUUGGAUUAUGACGCCAAAAAUAAACAUUUGGCCAUAUUCAAUUUAAGCAUUUCACAUGAUCUCUCGUGCCUCACAAUAAAGGCAAACACAGACUAAACACACACACAGUGAAUAGACAUAUAUCUUCUCCGACAAAUGGCCCGACAUGGACUAAUCUUAAAAGGCAGAAGAUUUCCAUUGAAUCCCUCUAAGCUGAGGGUGCCCAAUUCUCGAUGCAUUCCCAUCAAAUCAGACUUCACUUGCAACGCUAAUCACAGGGAAGGAGAGUGACGUCCUUCUGACUGGGGGCUGGCAUGGCAGUGCAAACAGCUCUAGUGGAAACAAGCGCCAACUGAGCAAGCCACACCCUUGAGAGCAAACCUUUUUUCCCCCCUCAUAAAACACUGGUUGUGUAACACUUCAGCAGAUUUGGAGCAUUCCGAGUCAGCAUACUGGCUAACAUUUCAACAAAGACAUUUUAAAAGCCUUGCCAAAGAUGUACACAACAUCACUUGAAGGAAUCCAAUAACAUUCUGGCCUUUUGUUAGUAGCAGAAUGUGAGCAAGAAAACAAACAAACAAUGAGUAACUUAUCAGGACUUCGACAUAUUAAAGUAUACUAUUGAAAUCAGUGCAUCACAUGCACACUGAUAAGACUUAUCACGAAACAUUCCUGAAAUAACACAUUCAGACUGGGAAUCCAGUUAAACAUUGUCAUUCACCGCCUAACCUCAAGUCUACACUUUCCCCUAGUUUCUGGUUACCGGGGAAACAACCUUUAAAUUCAGAGCAUGCCCAGUGCGAGAGAAGCAUGUAGUGUAUGCAGGCGUUUUGAUGCAUGUGUCAGACACAAGGCCUGUACUGUCUGCAUACUGCUUCACUCAUAACAGGGUUUGGGUUUCAUGUUUGCUCUGCAAGGGUUCAGGAUGAGGUGUGGACUGUGGCUCACUUCAAAUGCUUCACCAUGAGCUGGGAGAUGGGUGUGCUGUGCCAUAUCCUUUGGUUGGUGUUAAAAUGUGAUCAGUAUAAUGGAGCCAAGAAUAGAUUAUUUAGGGCGAUUUGUUACACUUCAUGCCUGUUAAAAUAGAAAAUGGGGUGCCAUUGUUAUUUUUGGAGAAAAGGCAUUGUGGGCCUUUAAAACUGAGUGAACUGAUGCAAGCUGGGGGAAAAAAACAUACUAUUCUAACUGCCUGCAGUGUAGAUUGAUACACGUGAUAAGGAAAAGGAUAUCUCUGCAAUCAAACCAUAUCCCUCUGUUUCUCAAUCAAACCAUAUCCCUCUUCUGCAAUACACAGACAGCAAAAUGUGAAAUGUCAUGUUUCCACUGAAAAAAAGAGAGACCCAUUUAGCCUGGCACAGACGUGUGCUUUAAAUGUGAGGUGGCGGUGGAAAGUGGCACCAAGGCCGAAAUCUAACACUGGGAUGGACUGUGCCCACUGACUUCCAGGCUGUGCAAGAGGACACCAUGGGACCAUGUUUAGACCCCCUUCCCCCAAUCUAUGCCUG